AUUGAACGCUGGCGGCAUGCCUUACACAUGCAAGUCGAACGGCAGCGCGUCCUUCGGGAUGGCGGCGAGUGGCGAACGGGUGAGUAAUACAUCGGAACGUGCCCGAGAGUGGGGGAUAACGCAGCGAAAGCUGUGCUAAUACCGCAUACGAUCUCAGGAUGAAAGCAGGGGACCGCAAGGCCUUGCGCUCACGGAGCGGCCGAUGGCAGAUUAGGUAGUUGGUGGGAUAAAAGCUUACCAAGCCGACGAUCUGUAGCUGGUCUGAGAGGACGACCAGCCACACUGGGACUGAGACACGGCCCAGACUCCUACGGGAGGCAGCAGUGGGAAUAUUGCACAAUGGGCGAAAGCCUGAUGCAGCGACGCCGCGUGAGGGAUGACGGCCUUCGGUGGUAACCUACUUCUGCAGGGAAGAAAGGCGCAAGUGACGGUACCUGCAG
rnacentral:rRNA from 1 species